UCAGGCUGUAUGGACACAUCUACAUGUACUACUUCUGCCUCCUAAUACACAUUAGGGCCUACCCUAUAGAUCAGUAUCCCUGUCAUACACACCAAGCUGCCUCCAUCAUGCUCAUCAUCAUGAAUAACCUGGACCCUGCUGUUGCCCAGUUUCCCCAGGAGCUGGUUACCUAUGUGGGGAAUGGACAGGUUUUCUGUAACUGGGCCCAGCUGACAGUGCUGAAUGCAGGUCUGAUGAACUUAGGGGCCGGGUUUUGGUGACGUCAGAGCCGGGGG